rnacentral:rRNA from 1 species
CAGGAUGAACGCUAGCUACAGGCUUAACACAUGCAAGUCGAGGGGCAGCAUGGUCUUAGCUUGCUAAGGCCGAUGGCGACCGGCGCACGGGUGAGUAACACGUAUCCAACCUGCCGUCUACUCUUGGACAGCCUUCUGAAAGGAAGAUUAAUACAAGAUGGCAUCAUGAGUCCGCAUGUUCACAUGAUUAAAGGUAUUCCGGUAGACGAUGGGGAUGCGUUCCAUUAGAUAGUAGGCGGGGUAACGGCCCACCUAGUCUUCGAUGGAUAGGGGUUCUGAGAGGAAGGUCCCCCACAUUGGAACUGAGACACGGUCCAAACUCCUACGGGAGGCAGCAGUGAGGAAUAUUGGUCAAUGGGCGAGAGCCUGAACCAGCCAAGUAGCGUGAAGGAUGACUGCCCUAUGGGUUGUAAACUUCUUUUAUAAAGGAAUAAAGUCGGGUAUGGAUACCCGUUUGCAUGUACUUUAUGAAUAAGGAUCGGCUAACUCCGUGCCAGCAGCCGCGGUAAUACGGAGGAUCCGAGCGUUAUCCGGAUUUAUUGGGUUUAAAGGGAGCGUAGAUGGAUGUUUAAGUCAGUUGUGAAAGUUUGCGGCUCAACCGUAAAAUUGCAGUUGAUACUGGAUAUCUUGAGUGCAGUUGAGGCAGGCGGAAUUCGUGGUGUAGCGGUGAAAUGCUUAGAUAUCACGAAGAACUCCGAUUGCGAAGGCAGCCUGCUAAGCUGCAACUGACAUUGAGGCUCGAAAGUGUGGGUAUCAAACAGGAUUAGAUACCCUGGUAGUCCACACGGUAAACGAUGAAUACUCGCUGUUUGCGAUAUACGGCAAGCGGCCAAGCGAAAGCGUUAAGUAUUCCACCUGGGGAGUACGCCGGCAACGGUGAAACUCAAAGGAAUUGACGGGGGCCCGCACAAGCGGAGGAACAUGUGGUUUAAUUCGAUGAUACGCGAGGAACCUUACCCGGGCUUAAAUUGCAGAUGAAUUACGGUGAAAGCCGUAAGCCGCAAGGCAUCUGUGAAGGUGCUGCAUGGUUGUCGUCAGCUCGUGCCGUGAGGUGUCGGCUUAAGUGCCAUAACGAGCGCAACCCUUGUUGUCAGUUACUAACAGGUUCUGCUGAGGACUCUGACAAGACUGCCAUCGUAAGAUGUGAGGAAGGUGGGGAUGACGUCAAAUCAGCACGGCCCUUACGUCCGGGGCUACACACGUGUUACAAUGGGGGGUACAGAGGGCCGCUACCACGCGAGUGGAUGCCAAUCCCAAAAACCUCUCUCAGUUCGGACUGGAGUCUGCAACCCGACUCCACGAAGCUGGAUUCGCUAGUAAUCGCGCAUCAGCCACGGCGCGGUGAAUACGUUCCCGGGCCUUGUACACACCGCCCGUCAAGCCAUGGGAGCCGGGGGUACCUGAAGUGCGUAACCGCGAGGAGCGCCCUAGGGUAAAACUGGUGACUGGGGCUAAGUCGU